CUACGGGGUGCUCCAGUGGGGAAUAUUGCACAAUGGGCGCAAGCCUGAUGCAGCAACGCCGCGUGAGGGACGAAGGCCUUCGGGUUGUAAACCUCUUUUAGCAGGGAAGAAGCGAAAGUGACGGUACCUGCAGAAAAAGCACCGGCUAACUACGUGCCAGCAGCCGCGGUAAUACGUAGGGUGCAAGCGUUGUCCGGAAUUAUUGGGCGUAAAGAGCUCGUAGGCGGUUUGUCACGUCUGCUGUGAAAUUUCGAGGCUCAACCUCGAACUUGCAGUGGGUACGGGCAGGCUAGAGUGCGGUAGGGGAGAUGGGAAUUCCUGGUGUAGCGGUGGAAUGCGCAGAUAUCAGGAGGAACACCAAUGGCGAAGGCACAUCUCUGGGCCGUAACUGACGCUGAGGAGCGAAAGCGUGGGGAGCGAACAGGAUUAGAUACCCUGGUAGUC
rnacentral:rRNA from 1 species